GCCUUCUUCGUGUAACUGGACAGCACGUCCGGUUGGCAAUCGGAAGGUCCGGAGUUCGAAUCCUGGCGAAGUCA
rnacentral:tRNA from 1 species